CUUAAGCUUGCUCCUUGAUUCAGCGGCGGACGGGUGACUAAUGCCUAGGAAUCUGCCUGGUAGUGGGGGACAACGUUUCGAAAGGAACGCUAAUACCGCAUACGUCCUACGGGAGAAAGCAGGGGACCUUCGGGCCUUGCGCUAUCAGAUGAGCCUAGGUCGGAUUAGCUAGUUGGUGGGGUAAUGGCUCACCAAGGCGACGAUCCGUAACUGGUCUGAGAGGAUGAUCAGUCACACUGGAACUGAGACACGGUCCAGACUCCUACGGGAGGCAGCAGUGGGGAAUAUUGGACAAUGGGCGAAAGCCUGAUCCAGCCAUGCCGCGUGUGUGAAGAAGGUCUUCGGAUUGUAAAGCACUUUAAGUUGGGAGGAAGGGCAGUAAGUUAAUACCUUGCUGUUUUGACGUUACCGACAGAAUAAGCACCGGCUAACUCUGUGCCAGCAGCCGCGGUAAUACAGAGGGUGCAAGCGUUAAUCGGAAUUACUGGGCGUAAAGCGCGCGUAGGUGGUUUGUUAAGUUGGAUGUGAAAGCCCCCGGGCUCAACCUUGGGAACUGCAUCCAAAACUGGCAAGCUAGAGUACGGUAGAGGGGUGGUGGAA
rnacentral:rRNA from 1 species